rnacentral:rRNA from 1 species
GAUGAACGCUGGCGGCGUGCCUAAUACAUGCAAGUCGAGCGAACAGACGAGGAGCUUUCUCCUCUUACGUUAGCGGCGGACGGGUGAUUAACACGUGUAUAACCUACCUAUAAGACUGGGAUAACUUCGGGAAACCGGAUCUAAUACCGGAUAAUAUAUUGAACCUCAUGGUUCAAUAGUGAAAGCCGGUUUUGCUGUCACUUAUAGAUGGAUCCGCGCCGCAUUAGCUAGUUGGUACGGUAACGGCUUACCAAGGCAACGAUGCGUAGCCGACCUGAGAGGGUGAUCGGCCACACUGGAACUGAGACACGGUCCAGACUCCUACGGGAGGCAGCAGUAGGGAAUCUUCCGCAAUGGGCGAAAGCCUGACGGAGCAACGCCGCGUGAGUGAUGAAGGUCUUCGGAUCGUAAAACUCUGUUAUUAGGGAAGAAGAAAAGUGAAAGUAAAUAUGCACGUCUUGACGGUACCUAAAGAGAAAGCAACGGCUAACUACGUG